GAUGAACGCUGGCGGCGUGCCUAAUACAUGCAAGUCGAGCGAACAGACGAGGAGCUUGCUCCUCUGACGUUAGCGGCGGACGGGUGAGUAACACGUGGAUAACCUACCUAUAAGACUGGGAUAACUUCGGGAAACCGGAGCUAAUACCGGAUAAUAUAUUGAACCGCAUGGUUCAAUAGUGAAAGACGGUUUUGCUGUCACUUAUAGAUGGAUCCUCGCCGCAUUAGCUAGUUGGUAAGGUAACGGCUUACCAAGGCAACGAUGCGUAGCCGACCUGAGAGGGUGAUCGGCCACACUGGAACUGAGACACGGUCCAGACUCCUACGGGAAGCAGCAGUAGGGAAUCUUCCGCAAUGGGCGAAAGCCUGACGGAGCAACGCCGCGUGAGUGAUGAAGGUCUUCGGAUCGUAAAACUCUGUUAUUAGGGAAGAACAAAUGUGUAAGUAACUAUGCACGUCUUGACGGUACCUAAUCAGAAAGCCACGGCUAACUACGUG
rnacentral:rRNA from 1 species